rnacentral:rRNA from 1 species
GUCUAUGGCCAUGCUACCCUGAACAAACCUGAUCCUGUCUGAUCUUGGAAGCUAAGCAGGGUCGGGCCCGGUUGGUUAGUACUUGGAUGGGAGACCAUCUAGGAAGACCAGGUGCUGUAGGCG